GGAAUGAACUUCUUCAUCCUGUGACAGUGCUGACAAGAACUGCCACUUUGUCAGCCUCCUUACCUGAAGCUGUCACUUCAGGCCAUGCAGUGGGGAAAGACUGGAGCUUAUUCUUCAGGCUGCUGCAUUUGGAAGCUGAUGGGUGUCAUGUCAUCUGACAGUCUCUUGGUACCUGACUUGCCAUGCCUGGUCAAUAAACUUGCUGAUUUUUGGAAGAGAAUGGGGGGGGGGGGGUGUUUACAGCAACUGCAUAAUCUUUUGUGUCUAAUUACAGGCUGGGUUUUCCCCUUAGCAGUAUGUUGUCCUUCUGUCCAUUGCAUAAUGUGGUACUUAAUGAAUGAUAGCAGGUAUGUUUAUUGUUGCUCGUAAAUGGCAUUACCGAUGUCAUUUGCCUGUACUGGAUGAUCUCUCUAGUGACUUGAGCUACCUCCUCCUAGCAGGUGUAUAUUGUAACUGGACUGAUUCUGUUCUGUUUUGUUACAUGAGUAACUGUCUUCUGGGAAACUGUGUAAAUACUAGAAUUGUCUGUUAAAAGCUGAAGAAUAUGAUGUGAGUUUAAAAUAAAUACUUUAUAUUUCCA